rnacentral:tRNA from 1 species
UCCGGAUUAGUAAAAGUUAUUAUACCUCUUUGAUAUGGAGGAGUUCCUUGAUAGGGAUCCGGUA